UCGCACCUACCGAUUGGAUGGUCCGGUGAAGCCUCGGGAUUGUGGUUGUGCUGCUUUAUUGUGGUGCGACCGCGAGAACUUGUCUAAACCUUAUCAUCUAGAGGAAGGUG
rnacentral:rRNA from 1 species